GUCUGGUUACUAGAGUCAAGAAUAUCACUGAACUCAUCUGAUCUCAGAAGCUAAGCAGGGUUGGGCCUGGUUAGUACUUGGAUGGGAGAUCACCUAGGAAGACCAGGUGCUGUAGGCG
rnacentral:rRNA from 1 species